UGCAUGUCUAAGUAUAAAUUCUUGUACGAUGAAACUGCAGACGGCUCAUUACAACAGUGAUAAACUGCUAGACUUUCGGGUUUUUAACCUUUUGGAUAACCGCAGUAAAUCGGGGCUAAUACAUAGAAGCGAUGGGUGACUGGCAACGGAAGCUCAGCGAUUAUUAGCAUUACUACCAAUACCUUCGGGUCUUGUGGUGAAACCGAAUAAUAUUGCAGAUCGGGGAUUUAUCUUCGACAAGUCUACUGUGUCACUGCCCUAUCAACUUUCGAUGGUACGGUAUUGGCCUACCAUGGUUGUAACGGGUAACGGGGAAUUAGGGUUCGAUUCCGGAGAGGGAGCCUGAGAAAUGGCUACCACUUCUACGGAAGGCAGCAGGCGCGCAAAUUACUCAAUCCCAAUACGGGGAAGUAGUGACAAUAAAUAUCAAUACCUAUCCUUAAUUGGAGGGCAAUUGAAAUGAACACAAAUUAAAACUCUUAAUUAACACAAUUGGAGGGCAAGUCUGGUGCCAGCAGCCGCGGUAAUUCCAGCUCCAAUAGCAUAUACUAAAGUUGUUGCAGUUAAAAAGCUCGUAGUUGAAGUUAAAGUUUUAUUGGACUCAAGUUUUUUACCACUCUGGUGGCUAAAAUAACUCCAAUAAUUCUUUUUUUAAUAGCUCAGUUUCUAGGUCUUUGACUCUAGUUAUUUGGGCAUUUCACUGUGAGAAAAUUGUGGUGUUUAAAGCAGGCGUCUCGUCUGAUCUUUUGCAGCAUGGUAUGAUGGAACAUGACAUUUUACG
rnacentral:rRNA from 1 species